rnacentral:rRNA from 1 species
AGAGUUUGAUCAUGGCUCAGGAUGAACGCUAGCGACAGGCUUAACACAUGCAAGUCGAGGGGCAGCAUAAUUUGUAGCAAUACAGAUUGAUGGCGACCGGCGCACGGGUGAGUAACGCGUAUGCAACUUACCUAUCAGAGGGGGAUAGCCCGGCGAAAGUCGGAUUAAUACCCCAUAAAACAGGGGUCCCGCAUGGGAAUAUUUGUUAAAGAUUCAUCGCUGAUAGAUAGGCAUGCGUUCCAUUAGGCAGUUGGCGGGGUAACGCCACCAAACCGACGAUGGAUAGGGGUUCUGAGAGGAACGGUCCCCCANAUUGGUACUGAGACACGGACCAAACUCCUACGGGAGCA